rnacentral:rRNA from 1 species
GUGGGGAAUCUUGCGCAAUGGGCGAAAGCCUGACGCAGCCAUGCCGCGUGAAUGAUGAAGGUCUUAGGAUUGUAAAAUUCUUUCACCGGGGACGAUAAUGACGGUACCCGGAGAAGAAGCUCCGGCUAACUUCGUGCCAGCAGCCACGGUAAUACGAAGGGGGCUAGCGUUGCUCGGAAUUACUGGGCGUAAAGGGCGCGUAGGCGGACAGCUUAGUCAGAGGUGAAAGCCCAGGGCUCAACCUUGGAAUUGCCUUUGAUACUGGCUGUCUUGAGUUUGGGAGAGGUGAGUGGAACUCCGAGUGUAGAGGUGAAAUUCGUAGAUAUUCGGAAGAACACCAGUGGCGAAGGCGACUCACUGGCCCAAUACUGACGCUGAGGCGCGAAAGCGUGGGGAGCAAACAGGAUUAGAAACCCUGGUAGUCC